rnacentral:rRNA from 1 species
UAAGCACUGUGUGAAAUGAUGAGGCUCAACCUCAUGUCCAUACAGUGAACUGCUUUGACUAGAGAAUGGGAGAGGUCGCUAGAAUUCCUGGUGUAGGGGUGAAAUCCGUAGAUAUCAGGAGGAAUACCGAUGGCGUAGGCAGGCGACUGGCCCAUUUCUGACGCUCAGGCACGAAAGCGUGGGAGCGAUCGGGAUUAGAUACCCCGGUAGUCCACGCCGUAAACGAUGGAUGCUA